AGAAAAUACUUUUACGAUAAUGCCCAUCCCUUAAGCAACAGGAGGUAAGAUAAAACACAAAAAUGCAAUAAGAUUUAAACAAACAGAAAACGAACCUAAAAACAAUCGGUUUACUACAUCAAAGCUGAUUUUUCAAGCUUUUCAUACACUCCACUAAAUGAAGCAAGUAUUCAACACAUGAAAGAGAAACUAUUCAGCACAUUCAAUACUAAGCAUCCCAACUAGUUCAUGGAACAACACAGCAGAUUUAAUGAAUUUAAGUAGAAGCUAGAAAGGACGAAGCUAAAGAAAAAGAGUCAAAUGACUUGAAAGAACAUAAAAGAAACUGAAAUUUAACAUGAAUAUUAAACUUCACAGCAACAGUACAUCCUUCAAAAACACGCUUGAAUUUCAUCAUUCAAAGCUCAAGAGGUACCUGGUUACAAGGAACAAAAACAAGGCAGUGUAUCUCUAAGAACAGCAGAAGACAACAGGAAACCAGUGAAAUAGCAGCAAUGAAACAGCAAUAUCACAACUUUAACCUCAAACCAUAUUUCAGCUUAAGAAACCCAGAAAUCCCAAAGGAAAAUUUUGUUCUAACUUUUGGUCGAAAUCAGAAAAAUAGAUCAGCUACUAAUGGAACAGUAGAGUUGAGCUUUAGAGGUAUUUUUUAGGUUCUGAAAAAUCUGUCUAGAAUGAGGGAGACACUUUUUAUUUUAUAGGGUAUGCCUAAAAUAGCGUCAAAAAGCAUAUUCUAACCUAAAUUCCCUAAGGGUCAGAUGGUACAACAUAUUUGGACAGCUGGCUGUCCUUUUUUCAGCCCAAUUCCAGUAUUUUCAUGCUAAGAAUGGGGACAACUGUACAAAAUGCUAGAACCUUCUGAUUUUUACCUUAUGUAAAAACAGUUUUACCCUUUCUUUUAUUAAAUAUUUUAGUUUCAACCAAUUCUGACUUAAAUUCAUAUUGUUUGAUUUACUCAUUAACCCCUUCUAGAAGCUUCUGAUAUCAAAACUCUACCUCAUUUCCCAAUUGACCCCUUUUAGGUUCUUGUUAAUACCUCUUUAAACUCCUAAUUCCUAAUUGGUAUUCAAAAUUAUAAACUUAAAUAAUUUAAAGCAAAAAAUCAGAAAUAAAACCAAGUAAAAAAAUGAAUCAAGAAGCUAACCAUGAACUAAUCUACUAGGACUGACUUAAUUAACCUAGACACGUGCAAUUAACUAAAUACCUAUUUUACUGAAAUUUAAACAAGUCAAUCAAGCAAACCAAACAAGACUGGAACCUAAAUGGUAAAAUAAUAAUAAUAAUAAUAAUAAUAAUAAUAAUAAUAAUAAUAAUAAUAAUAAUAAUAAUAAUAAUAAUAAUAAUAAUAAUAAUAAUAAUAAUAAUAAUAAUAAUGAUGAUGAUAAAAAGAAAAAGAAAACAGAAACAAAGAGAUAGGAGGAGGAAAAUACAUUGAUUUUGUCCAUGAAUGUGAUAACGGAUGAGGCAAACCAAUGAACGAUGAAAAUGACAAAGUUUGGCAAGCCAGAAGUGAGUUAGUAAAAUUCCGAUGACCUCGAAAAUGAGCCGAUACUAACGUCAAUCGAUUUCUCUUAACAAGAGCAAUUGAUUAAUGUAAGUUUCGGGCCAAGACGAACUAGUUUUACCCAAAAAAAUCAACAGAAAGAGGGAUUAGGGUUUUGGAAUCUCAUAUUUGAAAUUAAAGCAAAUGGGUGGGGAUUUUGGGGAAAUUGAUAGUGGGAUAGUGAUGAGGGGAGGCUGGGGAUUAUGAGGUUAAAUAUUGGGGUGGUUCGAAGUAUCGCCGCCGUUGUGGGGUGGCUAGCGGCGGCGAUUAAAGAAAUGAAGAAGGGGUAUGUGUUUGUUUUA
rnacentral:lncRNA from 1 species